UCACACGUCUCUCUCCCCUACCGCUCGCAGCCUCUCAGUCCCGACUCCCUUUCUCUCUCAGACUCUGACCUCUCUCUCCAUCACGUUCCUCACCGCAUCUCGACGGUCGUCAUCUCCCUCGCAUCGUCGCGGGAAAUUGAAGCUCUCACCGAACCUCAUCGAUCUGAGCUCUCUGAUCGUCUGACCGUUUUCUCUCCUCACCCGUUUAUUCUCCUCGCCUCCUCGAGUCCUCAGUGUUCUGGACUUCUGGGCUAGUUCUCCUCCACCUCAGUACACUCGUUCCAAUCAUGAUGUCAGUAAGGGAGUAAUUUGCAUAUCUAGAAAAUGAAGAGGCAAUCUAAAUCAGCUGCUACUAGUUCGGGUGUUCAUCCGAAAUCGACUUCAUCAUCUUAGAGAUACUAAAGAUGCCAUGUGGAGCUGCAGUGGGGAGUAGUCGGAGUGGAAUGUUACCUCCAAAGUCGAAGACUUCAUCUUUCCGAGCUUGAGAUCAUGCCAUUGCCCUCCUUCAUAUGUUGAUGUUGAUUCAUUCUUUUUGUGAUGUUUAAUCUUUUAGUGAACUUAUACAUUUUAAAUUUAUGAGGUUAAUGUUGAUGUAAUGAUGGACUUUUAUAAACUUUGGAUCGACUCUAUAUUUUUUGACCAUUUCAUAUGUUGAUGCUAGAACUUGAUGGACUAUUGGACUAUAUCAAUUGAAUUAUAUGGAGUAUGGAAUUAUAGAUUA